rnacentral:rRNA from 1 species
GACGGAGGGUGCGAGCGUUAUUCGGAAUCAUUGGGCGUAAAGAGCGUGUAGGCGGCCGGUUAAGUCAGGUGUGAAAGCCCGGGGCUCAACCUCGGAAGUGCACUUGAAACUGGGCGGCUUGAGUUCGGGAGAGGGAAGCGGAAUUCCUGGUGUAGAGGUGAAAUUCGUAGAUAUCAGGAGGAACACCGGUGGCGAAGGCGGCUUCCGGGACCGAAACUGACUCUGAGACGCGAAAGCGUGGGGAGCAAACAGG